CCUUUGACGUUAGCGGCGGACGGGUGAGUAACACGUGGGUAACCUACCUAUAAGACUGGGAUAACUUCGGGAAACCGGAGCUAAUACCGGAUAAUAUUUCGAACCGCAUGGUUCGAUAGUGAAAGGUGGUUUUGCUAUCACUUAUAGAUGGACCCGCGCCGUAUUAGCUAGCUGGUAAGGUAACGGCUUACCAAGGCGACGAUACGUAGCCGACCUGAGAGGGUGAUCGGCCACACUGGAACUGAGACACGGUCCAGACUCCUACGGGAGGCAGCAGAC
rnacentral:rRNA from 1 species